rnacentral:rRNA from 1 species
AUUGAACGCUGGCGGCAGGCCUAACACAUGCAAGUCGAGCGAGCGGCGGACGGGUGAGUAAUGUCUGGGAAACUGCCCGAUGGAGGGGGAUAACUACUGGAAACGGUAGCUAAUACCGCAUACCAUCAGAGGUGCCCAGAUGGGAUUAGUUAGUAGGUGGGGUAAUGGCUCACCUAGGCGACGAUCCCUAGCUGGUCUGAGAGGAUGAUCAGCAACACGGGAACUGAGACACGGUCCAGACUCCUACGGGAGGCAGCGGUGGGGAAUAUUGCACAAUGGGCGCAAGCCUGAUGCAGCCAUGCCGCGUGUGUGAAGAAGGCCUUCGGGUUGUAAAGCACUUUCAGCGAGGAGGCGUUACUCGCAGAAGAAGCACCGGCUAACUCCGUGCCAGCAGCCGCGGUAAUUC